CGGAGAUUUUGCCAUUGUCAAGUUUCCUGACGAAGGAGAUGCUGUUGCUGCAGUACGAUGCAGCUGGAUACGUGGUUGAAUGUGUAUGUGGCCACAAAAAGCUACAAAUGUGCAAGAGAUGGUGAGAAGCUGUACUGAGCCAGGUUCAGGAUGGAUUCAAACCACAUGUGUGGUUCUUGGUAUGUAUGAUAAUCAUAAGGAAGCAAGAAAUAAGCUCACCAAAGCAGAGCUCACGUCAAACUUGGAUACAGACCCUGACGAGCCAAGGAGGAGGAAGAAAAAGCGGCAGUUCGAUAGCAGCUCAGAUGAGUCUGUUGAGCCAUACCGUCUUCCAACUCCACCAACACCUCCCAGAAUGCAUUUUGCAGCCUGUGAACUGCUAAAUGAUUCACAAGAGGAGUCUCUUCCUUGCAGUGCCGGUGCCUCGACAGCUAUGUUGGUAAAGCCGCCGAUGAAGCAACCUUUAGUGAAAAGAAGAAAGGGCCCAUUCACCCAGAUUUCAGCAGCUACCGGUAAUAACAUUUAAUUUUCAUUUAGUGAACCUUGGCUGCACUGGGUUCGAUGCCUAAAUGCUAUUAAAGCACUGUGCUUUGUUGAAAUUAUUAUUAGUCUGUUCCUGUGCUUUAGUUGGGAGGGUAAGCCAUCCUAAGUGCACCUUCUUAGGUCAACAUGAACACAUUUCUCAUGUAACAAUCAGCAGGCAGCAAGGCCUCUCCUCGUCACUGCAUUGCUCCUGCUGGAACAUCGCGCCACAGCAGCCACAGUAA
rnacentral:lncRNA from 1 species